GAUCAUGGCUCAGGAUGAACGCUAGCGGCAGGCUUAACACAUGCAAGUCGAGGGGUAUAGUUCUUCGGAACUAGAGACCGGCGCACGGGUGCGUAACGCGUAUGCAAUCUACCUUUACAGAGGGAUAGCCCAGAGAAAUUUGGAUUAAUACCUCAUAGUAUUUUCGAAUCGCAUGAUUUGAUUAUUAAAGUUCCAACGGUAAAAGAUGAGCAUGCGUCCCAUUAGCUAGUUGGUGUGGUAACGGCACACCAAGGCUACGAUGGGUAGGGGUCCUGAGAGGGAGAUCCCCCACACUGGUACUGAGACACGGACCAGACUCCUACGGGAGGCAGCAGUGAGGAAUAUUGGACAAUGGGCGCAAGCCUGAUCCAGCCAUGCCGCGUGCAGGAAGACGCAUCUAUGGUGUGUAAACUGCUUUUGUACGGGAAGAAACACUCCUACGUGUAAGAGCUUGACGGUACCGUAAGAAUAAGGAUCGGCUAACUCCGUG
rnacentral:rRNA from 1 species